rnacentral:snRNA from 12 species
AUACUUACCUUGUUUGGGUGACCGUGAUCAUCAAGACGUGUCACCACAGACUUGUCCCUGCAUUGCACAUCGCGGUGGAACAGUCCGUUCAAUGACCUCCGGGUUUUUGACAAGCGAUAUUUUUGGCCCCUCCAUUCGUGGAAUA